rnacentral:rRNA from 1 species
AGUGAACGCUGGCGGUAGGCCUAACACAUGCAAGUCGAACGGCAGCACAGGAGAGCUUGCUCUCUGGGUGGCGAGUGGCGGACGGGUGAGGAAUACAUCGGAAUCUACUCUGUCGUGGGGGAUAACGUAGGGAAACUUACGCUAAUACCGCAUACGACCUACGGGUGAAAGCAGGAGACCUUCGGGCCUUGCGCGAUUGAAUGAGCCGAUGUCGGAUUAGCUAGUUGGCGGGGUAAAGGCCCACCAAGGCGACGAUCCGUAGCUGGUCUGAGAGGAUGAUCAGCCACACUGGAACUGAGACAAGGUCCAGACUCCUACGGGAGGCAGCAGUGGGGAAUAUUGGACAAUGGGCGCAAGCAUGAUCCAGCCAUACCGCGUGGGUGAAGAAGGCCUUCGGGUUGUAAAGCCCUUUUGUUGGGAAAGAAAUCCAGCUGGCUAAUACCCGGUUGGGAUGACGGUACCCAAAGAAUAAGCACCGGCUAACUUCGUGCCAGCAGCCGCCGUAA